rnacentral:rRNA from 1 species
AUUGAACGCUGGCGGCAGGCCUAACACAUGCAAGUCGAACGAGUGGCGGACGGGUGAGUAAUGUCUGGGAAACUGCCUGAUGGAGGGGGAUAACUACUGGAAACGGUAGCUAAUACCGCAUACCAUCGGAUGUACCCAUAUGGGAUUAGCUAGUAGGUGGGGUAAAGGCUCACCUAGGCGACGAUCCCUAGCUGGUCUGAGAGGAUGACGAGCCCAAAUGGAAAUGAGAAACGGGCCAGACUGCUACGGGAGGCAGGAGUGGGGAAUAGUGCACAAUGGGCGCAAGCCUGAUGCAGCCAUGCCGCGUGUAUGAAGAAGGCCUUAGGGUUGUAAAGUACUUUCAGCGGGGAGGCGUUACCCGCAGAAGAAGCACCGGCUAACUCCGUGCCAGCAGCCGCGGUAAUUC